GACGAACGCUGGCGGCGUGCCUAAUACAUGCAAGUAGAACGCACAGUUUAUACCGUAGCUUGCUACACCAUAGACUGUGAGUUGCGAACGGGUGAGUAACGCGUAGGUAACCUGCCUGGUAGCGGGGGAUAACUAUUGGAAACGAUAGCUAAUACCGCAUAAUAUUGAUUAUUGCAUGAUAAUUAAUUGAACGGUGCAAUUGCACCACUACCAGAUGGACCUGCGUUGUAUUAGCUAGUAGGUGAGGUAACGGCUCACCUAGGCGACGAUACAUAGCCGACCGUGGAAGGUGAUCGGCCACACUUGGACUGAGACACGGCCCAGACUCCUACGGGAGGCAGCAGUAGGGAAUCUUCGGCAAUGGACGAAAGGCUGACCGAGCAACGCCGCGUGAGUGAAGAAGGUUUUCGGAUCGUAAAGCUCUGUUGUAAGAGAAGAACGGGUGUGAGAGUGGAAAGUUCACACUGUGACGGUAUCUUACCAGAAAGAGACGGCUAACUACGUG
rnacentral:rRNA from 1 species